GUGCUUGCUUCAGCAGCAUAUACACUGAAACUGGAACAACACAGAGAAGAUUAGCAUGGCCCUUGCACAUGGAUGACAUGCAAACACAAGAAGCGUUCAACAUUUAA